CUGAUGUGAAAGCCCUCGGCUUAACCGAGGAAGCGCAUCGGAAACUGGGAAACUUGAGUGCAGAAGAGGACAGUGGAACUCCAUGUGUAGCGGUGAAAUGCGUAGAUAUAUGGAAGAACACCAGUGGCGAAGGCGGCUGUCUGGUCUGUAACUGACGCUGAGGCUCGAAAGCAUGGGUAGCGAACAGGAUUAGAUACCCUGGUAGUCCAUGCCGUAAACGAUGAAUGCUAGGUGUUGGAGGGUUUCCGCCCUUCAGUGCCGCAGCUAACGCAUUAAGCAUUCCGCCUGGGGAGUACGACCGCAAGGUUGAAACUCAAAGGAAUUGACGGGGGCCCGCACAAGCGGUGGAGCAUGUGGUUUAAUUCGAAGCAACGCGAAGAACCUUACCAGGUCUUGACAUCUUUUGAUCACCUGAGAGAUCAGGUUUCCCCUUCGGGGGCAAAAUGACAGGUGGUGCAUGGUUGUCGUCAGCUCGUGUCGUGAGAUGUUGGGUUAAGUCCCGCAACGAGCGCAACCCUUAUGACUAGUUGCCAGCAUUUAGUUGGGCACUCUAGUAAGACUGCCGGUGACAAACCGGAGGAAGGUGGGGAUGACGUCAAAUCAUCAUGCCCCUUAUGACCUGGGCUACACACGUGCUACAAUGGAUGGUACAACGAGUUGCGAGACCGCGAGGUCAAGCUAAUCUCUUAAAGCCAUUCUCAGUUCGGACUGUAGGCUGCAACUCGCCUACACGAAGUCGGAAUCGCUAGUAAUCGCGGAUCAGCACGCCGCGGUUGAAUACGUUCCCGGGCCUUGUACACACCGCCCGUCACACCAUGAGAGUUUGUAACACCCGAAGCCCGGUGGCGUAACCCUUUUAGGGAGCGAGCCGUCUAAGUGGGACAAUGAUACAGAGCUGGU
rnacentral:rRNA from 2 species